UAGGGAAUUUUCGGCAAUGGGGGCAACCCUGACCGAGCAAUGCCGCGUGAACGACGAAGGUCUUCGGAUCGUAAAGUUCUGUGAUUGGGGAAGAACAGCAUGAUCAGGAAAUGGGUCAUGUUUGACGGUACCCGAUUAGAAAGCCCCGGCUAACUAUGUGCCAGCAGCCGCGGUAAAACAUAGGGGGCGAGCGUUAUCCGGAAUUAUUGGGCGUAAAGAGUACGUAGGCGGCCUGUUAAGUCUGAUGUGAAAUCCCGCGGCUUAACCGCGGAGGGUCAUUGGAAACUGGCAGGCUUGAGUACGGCAGGGGUAAGUGGAAUUCCAAGUGGAGCGGUGAAAUGCGUAGAUAUUUGGAGGAACACCAGUGGCGAAGGCGGCUUACUGGGCCGGAACUGACGCU
rnacentral:rRNA from 1 species